rnacentral:rRNA from 1 species
UGUCCAGACUCCUACGGGAGGCAGCAGUGGGGAAUAUUGCACAAUGGGGGGAACCCUGAUGCAGCGACGCCGCGUGAAGGAAGAAGUAUCUCGGUAUGUAAACUUCUAUCAGCAGGGAAGAAAGAGGACGGUACCUGACUAAGAAGCCCCGGCUAACUACGUGCCAGCAGCCGCGGUAAUACGUAGGGGGCGAGCGUUAUCCGGAUUCAUUGGGUUUAAAGGGUGCGCAGGCGGGCCUUUAAGCCGGCGGUAAAUGCGGGGGGCCCACCCCCGCCGAGCCGUCGGAACUGGGGGCCUUGAGUGCGGGGGAGGCAUGCGGAAUGCGCGGUGUAGCGGUGAAAUGCAUAGAUAUCGCGCAGAACCCCGAUUGCGAAGGCAGCGUGCCGUGCCGCCACUGACGCUGAGGCACGAAAGCGCGGGGAUCGAACAGGAUUAGAUACCCGAGUA